rnacentral:rRNA from 1 species
UGCAAGUCGAGCGGGCCUUUCGGGGUCAGCGGCGGACGGGUGAGUAACGCGUGGGAACGUGCCCUCUGGUUCGGAAUAACUCAGGGAAACUUGAGCUAAUACCGGAUACGCCCUUUUGGGGAAAGGCUUGCUGCCGGAGGAUCGGCCCGCGUCUGAUUAGCUAGUUGGUGAGGUAACGGCUCACCAAGGCGACGAUCAGUAGCUGGUCUGAGAGGAUGAUCAGCCACACUGGGACUGAGACACGGCCCAGACUCCUACGGGAGGCAGCAGUGGGGAAUAUUGGACAAUGGGCGCAAGCCUGAUCCAGCCAUGCCGCGUGAGUGAUGAAGGCCUUAGGGUUGUAAAGCUCUUUUAUCCGGGACGAUAAUGACGGUACCGGAGGAAUAAGCCCCGGCUAACUUCGUGCCAGCAGCCGCGGUAAUACGAAGGGGGCUAGCGUUGCUCGGAAUCACUGGGCGUAAAGGGCGCGUAGGCGGCGUUUUAAGUCGGGGGUGAAAGCCUGUGGCUCAACCACAGAACGGCCUUCGAUACUGGGACGCUUGAGUAUGGUAGAGGUUGGUGGAACUGCGAGUGUAGAGGUGAAAUUCGUAGAUAUUCGCAAGAACACCGGUGGCGAUGGCGGCCAACUGG